GGUUCGAUUAUGGCUCAGAUUGAACGCUGGCGGGAUGCUUUACACAUGCAAGUCGAACGGCAGCACGGACUUCGGUCUGGUGGCGAGUGGCGAACGGGUGAGUAAUGUAUCGGAACGUGCCUAGUAGGGGGAUAACUACGCGAAAGCUGUAUUAAUACCGUAUACGCCCUUCGGGGAAAGCGGGGGACCUUCGGGCCUCGCACUAUUAGGAGCGGGCCGAUAUCGGAUUAGCUAGUUGGUGGGUAACGGCUCACUAAGGCGACGAUCCGUAGUUGGCUUGAGAGGACGCAGAUCAGCCACACUGGAUCAGGAGACAUCAGCCUGACCCUACGGGAGGCAGCAGUGGGGAAUUUUGGACAAUGGGGGAAACUCCUGAUCCAGCCAUCCCAAGUGUGUGCGAUGAAGGCCUUCGGGUUGUAAAGCACUUUGGCAGGAGAAACGCACGGAUAACACCGUGCAACUGACGGUACCUGCAGAAUAGCACCGGUUAACUACACAGCAGCUGCGUAAUACGUAGGGUGCAAGUUGUUAAUCUGAAUUACUGGGCGUAAAGCGUGCGCAGGCGGUUCGGAAAGAAAGAUGUGAAAUCCCAGAGUUUAACUGAACUGCAUUUUUAACUACCGGUUUAGAGCAGGUCGAGGGAGGUGAAUUCCGUGUAGCAGUGAAAUGCGUAGAUAUGCGGAGGAACACCGAUGGCGCGUGCCUCUGGGAUAACACUGACGCCUAUGCACGAAAGCGCGGGGAGCAAACAGAUUAGAUACCCUGGUAGUCCACGCUCCAAAUGAUGUCAACUAGCGUUGGGGCCUUGGCUUCGGUAGCGCAGCUAACGCGUGAAGUUGACCGCCUGGGAGUACGGUCGCAAGAUUAAAACUCAAAGAAUUGACGGGGACCCGCACAAGCGGUGGAUGAUGUGGAUUAAUUUUGAUGCAACGCGAAAAACCUGACUACCCUUGACAUGUCUGAAUCCCGAAGAGAUUUAGAGUGCCUGCAAGAGAACCGGAACACAGGUGUUACGGCUGCCGUCGUCAAAGUCGAGAUGUUGGGUUAAGUCCCGCAACGAGCGCAACCCUUGUCAUUAGUUGCUACGAAAGGGCACUCUAAUGAGACUGCCGGUGACAAACCGAGCAGGUGGGGAUGACGUCAAGUCCUCAUGGCUCCUUGCGGUAGGUCACACGUCAUACAAUGGUCGGGACAGAGGGUCGCCAACCUGCGAGGGGAGCCAUCCAGAACCCGAUCGUAGUCCGGAUCGCAGUCUGCAACUGACCGCGGGAAGUCGGAACGCUAGUAACGCAGAUCAGCAUGUCGCGGUGAAUACGUCUUCGGGUCUUGUACACACCGCCCGUCACACCAUGGGAGUGGGUUUUCACUGGUGAAGUAGCAGCUAACCGUAAGGAGGGCGAUUACCACGGUAGGAUCUUAUGACUGGGGUGAAGUCGUAACAAGGU
rnacentral:rRNA from 1 species